rnacentral:lncRNA from 10 species
AGCAUUUCUGUGACUUUCUCAGAAGUAAUUACUUCCUCUUCUGUGCUCUGCCGGCCCUGACCUUCCCAUUUGCAUGGUGGUCACCCAAUUCUGUGGUCACUUCUGUUUAUGUUUCAGUCUUUCCUACUAGAUCAGACUUCCUUAGAGCAGGAAGUAUGUCAUCUACACCUCUUUUCCUAGAUGCCAAACAUUCAGUGCAUAGCAGUUGUUGAAUUAUGACUACAGAGUGACAAAUGAUUAACUGAAUGAAUGAAAUAUACUCAGCAUUUGGCCUUAUGUCACUGUCGUUAAAACAUUCAUCACAUGUGUGUAAGUAUAAUGGGAUUUAGAAUUCUUACUCUUCUAAGGCUUGAAGCAUGCUCCCAGGGUCCUCGGAAGACAGAAUGUCUAUCAUUUGGUCGUUAAGGGAAAGGUCCUCAUUCACGCCAUCAGCUGAGGUGAACGGCAAGGGUUCCAGCUUGCUCUCAUACUGCCAAACCUUCAGGAGAAUUGCGGAAAUAAUAAUUGAUUGGGCCUUCUUGUGAAUUCCACGUGCUGAGAAAGCCAGGAGGGAAGGCCAGGGGUCUGCAGUCUGAGCACCCAAUCAGCCCCACCACUGUGACCACAGUAAACCCAGACAAGCUUUUGCGAAUGUCCCUGAGCCUCUGUUUUCUCUGCAAAGAAAUGGGAUCAUAAUUCUACUAGCCCUGCAUGAGGAUGUUGUGUGGGUAAAGUGGAACAAUGGACAGAAAGAACUUUUCAGCCUGUAAGACCUAUAAACUAUUUAACUAUCAUCAUCUUUAUCAUUAUCAGGUAGAGGAAACCUCAAAACAGGUAUGAUGGACCUUGACAUCAGAGAUCUGGCUAGUUUCUAAUCGGAAUAUAGGAUUGAGUGGGGCGUGGUGGCUCACGCCUGUAAUCCCAGCACUUUGGGAGGCUGAGGUGGAUGGAUCACUUGAGGUUAGGAGUUUGACACCAGCCUGGCCAACACGGUGAAACCCUGUCUCUACUAAAAAUACAAAAAUUAGCCAGGCGUGGUGGCAGGCACCUGUAAUCCCAGCUACUCAGGAGGCUAAGGCAGGAGAACCACUUGAACCCAGGAGACGGAAGCUGCAGUGAGCCGAGAUUGCGCCACUGCACUCCAUCCUGGGAGACAGAGUGAGACUCUGUCUCAAAAAAAUAAAGAAAGAAAGAAAGAAUAUAGGAUUGUGAGCUGGAAGUGACAUUAGAGAUAAAUAAGCCCAACCCUCUGAUUGGAUAAGAGAUAUCUGUGUUGUCUCCAAUAUCAUUAACUCUGCAAAAAUGCAUAGCUAUAGCUAACCUUUAACAAUUCUUGUCCCUGUGCCAGGUAUUAUUUUCAGUGCUUUCUUUGUGUUAUCAUGAAGCUGUUACAACAACGCAGUGUUGGUGCCCCCAUUUUACAAAUAGGAAAACUGAGGCUCACAGAAGUGAAAUAACGUUAUUGAAGGUCACACAGCUCAGAAGAGCCCGGUUGAUUUUUAACCCCAAUCCAACUCUGAAGGCUGCCUUCUGCUUUAGAGCAGACCACUGACCACCACUAUGCUGGCAAAAAAAUAAAGAAAAAUGUGAGAAGAGUUCAUUCUGUGAUGCCAGGAAAAAAGUACUGCAAGGGUCUUCACGCCUUAAAUCAAAUUCAUACUCUUGCUUUCCUCUGUGCAGUUCUUAUGAUCUGCCUUAAUCUCUGGAAAAUGAAUCCUGCUCCGACAUCAAAGCAGCAGGGUGCGUUUAGUUCUUCUGAUUGAUAACAGCUUUGGGAGAAUCAGUACAAGGUCUGAUUAGAUGGGACGUUUUUCUUCUCACUUUUGCCCGCCAAGGAGACUGUGGGCUGACCUCAUUUUGAAAUGACAAUCCUCUCCUCCAAGAAGCAGGGACAAAAUGAACAACAGGCUCCUCACCCAGGCUGGGGUGGAAUUUCCAGCCUCCAGAGCCCCUGGGCAGGACUAAGCCCCAGGGCAGGACUAAGCCCAUCAGGGCCCAGGUCCCUGAUGAAACACACCCUUUACCAGACACCUUCCCUUUCUGCCUCACUUCCCACCACCUCCCCUUUUGUCCUGGGAUCACUUCCCACAUAAGCUACUUGAAUGGGAAUUCUAGUCUCAGGAAUCGCCACUGGACUCAGCCUGCACAGCACAGCAAGACCCUGGCUCUUAAGAAAAAAAAAGAAUGAUGGGGAUGCAUCCCAGGACAAACAGCAGUUUUGGAGGUGGGCCCUGGGCAUGGGUUUUUGUGCACAGCUCCCUCAGCAAUGCUGAUGGGGAUCCAGGGCUGAGACCCACAGAACUGGGGGAUGAACUUCAACCUCACAUUCACCACCUUCCAAACCACCCUCAGGGAAGACUCACCCGAUGUCUGGUGAGCAUGUUUCCCUUCAGACACUGAUAGCGAACCAUGAGGAAGAGGGCAGCCCAGGUCAGCACAAGGGAGAGGAGGAAGGCAAUGAAGAACCCUGCUGCGUGGAGGCCGUGGUGCGGCAGAACCUGUGGAGACAAGAGGAGAGCAGGAUUCAUGUGUGGUCAGACAGCAUGUCUCCCAGGCCUCACAGAUGAUUGAGUGUCAGAGCAGACCAAGCAGGGACCAGGGGACUCGCUUGCAUUUGAGUCUCGCUCUGCCAGCUACCAGCUGGCUGCCUGGAGGCCCUCGCUGGUCCUCUCUGAGCCUGAACUUCCUCAGUGCAUGACAAGCCUGUCAAAGACCUGAGGCAUGGUGAUUUGCACACAAUAGCACCAUCCAGCCGCACGCCUAGCACAUCACAGACACUCAAGAAUGUUAAGUUUCCAAAUCAAAAACAUGAUAAUCCAAAGGAAGCACUAGGGAUCCGUGACAUUUUCUGAGAAUCACAGGUAGAAUUUUGCAGAGGCCAGAGGAAGAACCCAUGGCACCCUCACCUUCCCGCUACCCUCUAUUAACUUUAGAUUAAAUAAUUAAACCCCAAUUUUUACGGUAUUAUAUUUAGAGAAAAUCUCUUGUCUUCUGACUGGUGAGAUUAGUGGGCCACAUUUACCCCCGCCCCUCCUUCCCUGCUUCUGCCUUCUAGCAUUUUUUAGGUUUAUAGCAUAUAUAUUUUGUUCUGCAACCAGAAUUCAAUCCUGAUUAUUGUUUAUAGGUUAAUCCCAGCAACUACAAAUUUUAAAAGACAAUAUUAUUAUGAUUAGGCAAAAUUUGCUCACUGCAGAGUAAAGUAAUUGGAUCCAAUCCUGUGACACUAAAUAUCUGCUCCUCAAAGGAGUGUGUUCCUAAUUCAGUCCCUUUUCUCACACUUUAUCAAUUAUUCCAAAUCAGGCUACAUUUUUAGUUUGCUUCAGUGUGAAUUAGCACUUCCUUGUGUGACUUUUUGUUUUUCCUGAAGUUUUUCAUGGCCUAUCUUUUUUCUUCCUAGCAUACACCCAUGUUCUUAAUAAUACUAUCUGUUACAGAGAGUCAAAUUUACUUUUUCUUAAAGUCAUCAUUCCCAGAGUUCUCUGACUUUCUGAUUUAAUCAGACCUGGCUACUUUCUAGGUUUUCUGGUAUCAUAGAGAGCUUUUUCUUUUUCUCCACUGCCUUCUAUAUUGUCACAGCAUUACUCAUUGAAGAAAAACUGUUUCUUGGAUCCCAUUUCUUCCUUUUUCUUGGAUAAUUCUUUUUUAUUUUGAUGAAGUAUCCUAAGUAUCUAUUUAUUCUCAAGUAAGUUCGUUUGGAGAAGAUGCUCUUUUCUCACAUCUGGCAAUGCUGUCACUUAGUUCUCAGUUUGACUGAUAGUAUGGCUGGCUACAUAAUUCAUGGCUAAAAUAACUUUCCCUCAAGAUGUUGAUGGUGCCAUUCUACUGUCUUCUGACAGAAGUGUGCCUGAUGGCCUUUUAGAAGAAUCUGUUUUUGUUUUCUGGGUGCUUUUUAAGAUUUCUCCCUUUUCCCUAUAGUUCUGAAUAUCUUAGCAUUUUAAAGAAGAUAUUUGAAUACAUUUCUAAUAAUAUAUAAAAAGUCUUAUAUAGUAAUGUAACUUUGCAAAGAAAUACACACAGUAUAAUCUCCAUUUCACUAAAAUAAAAAUAAUGUGCAUAUAUACAUAUGCAUGUGUAAAUUAUAAAGAA